rnacentral:tRNA from 1 species
GGGGCUGGGGCUCAGUGGUAGAGCACUUGCCUAGCACGUGUGAGGCACUGAGUUCGAUCCUCAGCACCA